GCUUUCGUAGCUCAGUUGGUUAAGAGCGUUGCACGGAUUGCAAAGGUCGCGGGUUCUAGUCCUGCCGGAAGCG